CGUACACCAACAUGGCGGCGCGCUGCUGCCUCCGCUCCCCCCUUACUCCCGGCAGCCCGCGCGGUUCCGUACGGCGACAUGGCGGCGGCGCUGGUGCAGUACGUGGUGCUCCGCGGGGAUCUGGCGCGGCCUCCCCGCUCGUGGCCGCUCGGCGCCGUGGUGGCUCAGGGCUGCCACGCGGCGCUGGCGGCCGUUCACGGUUACCGGGAGCACCCCGACACCGGCGCGUACCUGGAGCAGGGCGGCGCCAUGACUACCGUGGUGCUGGAGGCUCCGGAUGAAAAUUCCCUGCUGGAUUUGGCGAAGUUGCUGAAGGAAAAAGGUGUUGACCACAAGGUUUGGAUGGAAAAUCCCGAGGGAAUUGCCACGUGCCUGGCGCUCCGACCUUACCCCAAAAAUGUGGUGCAGCCUCACCUCAGGAAAUUCAAACUCCUCAAAUGAUCCCGUCUCGAGUUUUUUCCAGUCCAUUUUGGGGUUUUUGGGGUGCCGGCGUCACUCGGUGAGCAGCUGCUGCAGGAGGCUCUUGCCCUGGCCCGGCGGCGGCGCGGCCGGCACGGCGCCGGCGCUCUUGGCGGUGCCCAGCGGCGCCGGCGCGUUGAGGAUUCCACAGCCCCAUUCCCCAUCCCAUUCCUGAUCCCAUUCCCGAUCUCAUUCCUGAUCCCGUUCCUGUCUCAUUCCCAAUCCCAUUCCCAGUGAUCCACGGCCCCAUCCCAGCACCUGGAACCUCUCCAGAUGUUCCUGCACCUCCAACCCCACCCAACUCCAUCCCAUUUCCCGUUCCCAUUCCUGAUCCCGUUCCCAGUGGAAACAGGAACAGAUCCACAGCUUCCUUCCCAAUCCAGUUCCUGAUCCCAUUCCCGAAUCCAAUCUCAUUCUCUAUUCCCAGUGAUCCAUGGCCCCAUUCCCAAUCCCAUUCCCAAUUUCCAGUGAUCCACAGCCCCACUCCUGAUCCCGUUCCUGAUCCCAUUCCCGAUCUAAUUCCUGAUCCCAUUCCUAAAUCCAAUCUCAUUCUUUAUUUCCCAGGAUCCAUGGCCCCGUUCCCAAUCCCAUCUCUUAAUUCCCAAGGAUCCACAGCCCCAUUCCCAAUUCCCACUUUUUCAUGGCCCCAUUCCUGAUCCCAAUCCCAAUCUAUUUCCUGAUCCCAUUUCCGAAUCCAAUCUCAUUCUCUAUUUCCAGUGAUCCAUGGCCCCAAUCCCAAUCCCAAUCCCAUUCCCCAUCCCAUCUCCUGUUCCCAGUGAUCCACAGCCCCAUUCCCGAUCCCAUUCCUGAUCCCAUUCCCAAUCCCAUCUCCUAUUCCCAUUGAUCCACGGCCCCAUCCCAGCACCUGGAACCUCUGUUCCUGCACCUCCAGUUCAAUCCCAUUUCCCAUUCCCAUUUCUGAUCCCAUUCCCGUUUCCAGUGGAAACAGGAACGGAUCCAUGGCCCCAUUCCCAAUCCCAUUCCCAGUGAUCCACAGUCCCAAUUCCCAUUCCCAAUCCCAUUCCUGAUCCCAUUCCCAAUCCCAUUCCUGAUCCCAUUCCCAAUCCCAACCCCAAUCCCAUUCCCAAUCCCAUCUCCUAUUCCCAGUGGUCCAUGGCCCCAUUCCUGAUCCCAUUCCGGAUCCCGUUCCUGAUUCCAUUCCCAAAUCCAAUCUCAUUCUCUAUUCCCAGUGAUCCACAGCCCCAUUCCCAAUCCCAUCUCUUAUUCCCAAGGAUCCACAGCCCCAAUCCCGAUCCCAUUCCCAGUCCCAUCUCCUAUUCCCAGUGAUCCACAGCCCCAAUCCUGAUCCCCAUUCCCAAUCCCAUUCCCAAUCCCAUUCCCAUUCCCAACCCCAAUCCCAUUCCCAAUCCCAUCUCCUACUCCCAGUGAUCCACAGCCCCAAUCCCAAUCCCAUUCCCAAUCCCAUUCGCAAUCCCAUUCCCAUUCCCAACCCCAUUCCCAAUCCCAUUCCCAAUCCCAUCUCCUAUUCCCAGUGAUCCACAGCCCCAAUCCUGAUCCCCAUUCCCAAUCCCAACCCCAAUCCCAUUCCCAAUCCCAUCUCCUAUUCCCAGUGAUCCACAGCCCCAAUCCUGAUCCCAUUCCUAAUCCCAUUCCCAAUCCCAUUCCCAUUCCCAACCCCAAUCCCAUUCCCAAUCCCAUCUCCUACUCCCAGUGAUCCACAGCCCCAAUCCUGAUCCCCAUUCCCAAUCCCAUUCCCAUUCCCAACCCCAAUCCCAUUCCCAAUCCCAUCUCCUAUUCCCAGUGAUCCACAGCCCCAUUCCCAUUCCCGACCCCAUUCCCGCUCCCGCUCCCGCUCCCGCUCCCCGUUCCCGUUCCCGGCGGCACGCACCUGCUCCGAGCACAUGGAGUUGAUGCCGGCCAUGACGGGGUUCAUGGCCAUGCCGCCGCCCAUGCCGGGAACACCGGGAACGCCGCCGGAGCCGGGAACGCCAGAGCCGGGAACGCCGCCGGAGCCGGGGCCGGGCACGCCGGGGCCGGGAACGCUGGGAACGCCGGGGCCGGCCAUGGAGACGGGAAUUCCCUCCAUCCCCAGCCUGGCAUUGGGUCCAUCCCCAUCCCGAAUCCUCCCCGGGAAGGAAUUUCAGGAAUUCUCUGGUAAUUUGGGACUCCGCUUUUCUUUUCCAAUGGAUAAAUCCCACGGACAACUCCCACGGACGAUAAUUCCAUGGAAUGGGUAAUUCCAAAGGAUUCCUCUCAUGGAUAAUUCCCAUGGAUAAUUCCAAUGAAUAAAUCCAAAGGACAAUCCCAAUGGACA